UGCCAAUGGGCGCAGGAGCAGGGACACGCCUCCCACAGGUCCUCACAGGAACAGUAACACCUGUCAACAUUGGGAGGAAGAGGGCCAAGGAAAAAGACGGAGGACACGUAUGACAGAAAAUGAAGUCAGUGUCGAGUGAUGAUGAGCUGGUCCUGAUGCUCAUAAACAAGAAAAGGAAGAAAUGAAGAUUCUGGGUUUAUCUGAUCUUCAGGCAGCAGCAGGGAGAAUUUCAUUGUUCGAUCCAGGAGCCGGACCCGGAGUAGCAUCUCGCUGUGUGUUGGAGCAGUUGGUGGAGAGCAAGCAGCAGAUGCCUCGCCAUCCGAUGGCGAUUAAUCCUCCCACCGGCCAUCAGCCGCCGGCCCCGAGCCUCUGCCAUCAUCACGCCGGCAACGUAAGGAACACACGGCCGAGGUGAAGGUGGGACGGAGGAGCGAGGAGCGGUCGCUGCACCGGAGGGUGUCUCCCUCUGUUUCCCCCGCCGCUCGUCUGUUUUCCACUCGUAGACCUCUCUCUGCAGACGACAGGACGACCAGCUGGGGCCCGCUGUCUCCACGGUGUGUGUGUGUGUGUGUGCGUGUUUGGAGCCAUGUUCGAUAUA